rnacentral:rRNA from 1 species
GUGCCAGCCGCCGCGGUAACACGUAGGGAGCAAGCGUUGUCCGGAUUUAUUGGGCGUAAAGAGCUCGUAGGUGGUUCGGUAAGUCGGGUGUGAAAACUCUGGGCUCAACUCAGAGACGCCACCCGAUACUGCUGUGACUUGAGUCUGGUAGGGGAGUGUGGAAUUCCUAGUGUAGCGGUGAAAUGCGCAGAUAUUAGGAGGAACACCAGUGGCGAAGGCGGCACUCUGGGCCAGUACUGACACUGAGGAGCGAAAGCGUGGGUAGCGAACAGGAUUAGAAACCCCCGUAGUCC